GUGAGUCGUGGUGCACAGCAUUAGCAGGGCCCAAACAGCAGUGCAGGAAGGGGCUGAAGUGCCCAUUCAUGAGCCCACACUUGAUGACCACCGCUCAGCCCUCACUUGCUACAUCAGGCAAGAUUUCUUCUGCUCCUCUAAGGUGGGAGAAAAGCUGCUCAAAAUGCUAAGAACUGAUCAGCUAGCUGCCUUGAACUCAGUGGGAUCAGAGUUUGAAUGCUGUUUUAAUAGCAAUAAAAAAGAUGGCUUUCUGCUUUUGUUACCAUCCUUACCCAGCCAGUGGAUCGGUCAUCCCUAGGCUGUAACAGGAACCUUCAUCCUUCACCUUCACAGGAUCUUCUGUGUAAGCAACUGCAUUUGUAAAACUAUUCUCGGAUCUAAAUAACCUUACAGGUAGCUGGAAAGGCACACAACUAACUGUGGCCAGUGUGAUGUUAAAACCAAGCUUGUCAGAAACACUGCAGACAACCAAAGACAUCUCAAUCUGACUCCAGUGUAUGAGAGCUUGGAGGAGCACUGAUGGGGACUGUGCCACCGCUGACCCUGGCACCAUGUGCUAACGUCCACCUCACCGUCUGUUCAGUCUGGGCUUCCACUGAGCUCUGGGAGAAUGGUCAUUGGCCGGGGCCAGAAGUCAAGAGGAUUUAGAUAUCCGGCACUAUCUGACUCUUUUGCAACCCUCAGAUUCAGUUUCUCAAUAUGGCAAGGAUUGUUUGCUAAAUGAAAUAAUCCCUCUAACUGAAAAGAAAAUCAUUAUGUAAAAAAUAGAAAUAAGGCAGGCAUCCUUUACAUGACUUGUUAACCAUGCAGCAAUUAACUGGACCACUAAGGGUUAAUUCUGAUCCUGAGUGGGCCCAAUCAGGUUCGUUUCUGCCAUCUUAUUAGGUUAAAUAAAUAGAAACUUCUUGCAAUAUCCAUCCACAAUGAUAAGCAAUUCCCACUAUAAUGGAUGGCUAAUAUAUAAAUUCAGCCCACAUCAGUUUUGUGUCAACUAGCAAAAACAGAAACAAUGGAAACUAGACAGCCAUGGCUCUGCAUAGGUCAACAACCAAGGUUAUCUGUAUUCAAUUACUGGUAUCUGCAAACUUGCAUACUGUCAGCUGAUCGUAGACUAAAUGAAAACUUAUCAUGCACAGAGGCAGCAAAUACAUUUAUUUGAAGCAGGCAUCAUAUUAGUUCACUGGUUUGACUGUGGUUAAGGGAAAAAAAGGGGUUAUCAGUCUUUUGGGAAAUUCCUUCAAAUAUAACCUGCAGCAAAUAUCUAAAAUUGGGGAUUAUCUAUGUUAUAAAUCUUUGUUCAAAAAGUAGAAAAGGAACAGAAAUCACUCCGUAGCCCUCUAAGACGAUAAAUUAUAUUAUUUAACAAUAGAUAAACUUAGGGCACCUUUCCUGUGGAGCAGCCCUAUUGUGAAUUUGGCUUUAAUCUGCUUCACCUUAACAUCUGUUCAGUGGAACCAAAGAUUUGGCUGUUUUGGACGCAGACAAUAAUUUGUUUGUUAACCGCUUUGCUGGAACAAUACAUCAUUGCAGAAAACAAAGCCUACCAACACGACGCGUUUUUAUCUGUUUCCUCUAUCUGUGUUCCUUUUUCCACAAGUGCAAGUUCAGGCUUUUGAACUGUUUUCCUAGCGAUAAUUUGUGAUGCUGUUAGUUUCAUAACCCUGGAAAAACAGAUUUUUUUUUCAACCUUCUUUUUCAUCUUUGACCAACAGAUGUUCUGUUCAAAACCUGUAAGGACUCAUGAGGUACGUACUAGCAAAUUAUAAUUGUUAACGCCCCUGUGGAAGGAAAAUGUCAAUAAAUAUUUGUUAUCGCUGGCCUGUUUGGAAACAAAGGCAUUUGCUUCACAGAAGUUCACGUGCCAGACCUUUUUAUGCAUCUUUUCCAGCAGUCCAUUCAAUUAGACAUCUAACAUUUUGUUUCUUUUCAGACAAGGAAGUUAAAAUAACCUCAUAGAAUCAAAAAUAAAGCAUAAAAGCACGAAGGCAUCCUGUAUUCUAUGGUAAAAUAGCACUUGAGCUCAUUUCAGGGAUCCGAAUGCAGCCACAGAGCUGAGCUCCAGCACUUCACCAUUGCACACUAAAGCAGCAGUAAAGGGCAAAAAUCUAAAUGCAUAGUACCGUAAUGCAAAGAAAUGCCCCAACAACAUGUGGCUGCUGACAACUGCAAUCCAUACCUAUGGAUAAUCUCCCCUGGCCAAAUGACUCAACUAAAAUCAGACUUAACUUGCAACUCUUCUCCUCCGGCGAGAGAUAUAGAGUAUGUUUGGUUCUGACUUCUCCCUCAUGUCACUGCAGUCCAGACUCAUCCUGCUACUGAAGGAGGAGGUAAAGCUUAAUUUCUAGAUGACUGAAAAAAGCAAAUGCUAUCAUUUUCAAACGCAGGUGGUGAGCUGCUAUAGGCAUUCAGAACUGCCCUGCAGAAAUACCAGGAAAACUUACUUAUGCCACCAGUGCCUCAAAGAGCUCUUAACACAUCCUUGCACUGUGCCAUUCCACUUCACUCUGCUUCUUGUUGAGCUCUUGUAUUUCCCUCAUUUUAUCUCCGGGUGUGUCUGAAGCUGUAGUUCUAUUCUAAAGACUAGGAUUAACAUCUAACACAUGCUGUGAUGAUUUGGCAAAUCAGCCUCUGCACCACUAAAAUGAAUGCUGUUUUACAGCAUGGACUGCACUGCAUGUGUUUCAGCCAGCACAGCCCCUGUAGGCUGGAGCUUCCUUGCCUUCUCCGUAGCUUUUUGUCCUCUUGUUGAUGCAAAGACUAGAGGAGUUGCGGGGUGCAUCCAUUUACCUGGCUACAGUGGAGCAUCCUUAAAAUGCAAGAAACUAGCCAUGCAAAUGAGACAGAAAUGGCUGCCACCCAAGGCAGAGGAAUUUUUCCAAGUCUGAACCCUAUGCAGGAAGCAACUUCUUAGUAACUAUUUGUUUUAUGGAUUCAUUUGAGGAGCUGAUAAAACUGAAAAGAGGGCUCCUGAGGUGUUUCACUAAUCAGGAGGACAGGGAUCUGCAUUUCUCAGAAGUCAUAUGCAGGAGUUUGGGUCUAGAAGAACUGUGACCUACUUAGAAGACUCUGACUUAAGCCCCAAAUAAUGCUCUUGCUCAAGCAUGAAUUACAAGCAGCUGAAGAAAGAUGAGCUUUCGCACUUGCGCUCCAGCCAAGUUUGCCCACAUCUAAUGAGGAAAAGUAGGAUUCGGUGCCAUUUUGUAUUCCCGUGAUGUGGUGCAGAUGGAGGCUCGGCACACGCUCCUUUGCCUCCCCUUGCAAAGCGCAGAGCUGGAAAGCAUCAGGUUGAAGAGCAGAGGAAGUGGUGGCUGUGAGAAGCUGCCUCACCCAUGGGAGUAGAGCCGGCAGCAGCUCUGGUGACUGGAGAUGGCUGAGCUGGAAGAAAAUAUUAAACAGCCCAUGGCCAAAAGCUUGGGGAGUUACAGCAGCAGCCAUCCAUGGAGGGAGGAGAAAGGCUGAGCCAUCACACCUCAGCUUGAAAGACCUUGGCAGAGGUAAAGAGGGUAGGCACACGGGCGCUGGCCUCAGCCCUGAGCUGGGUGCAUGCCUCGCUGUGUGCCAGGCCCAGGCCCUGUCUGCAGCCAUGUGGACCCAUGUCCCAUGGAAGGGAAGUGCAACCGAGCUGAGCGCUGCAGUGAGUCAGCCUUCUGAUGCAAGAUGGGAAUGCAGCUGGGCUGGGCAUUGCUGUGGGAUUAUAAAGUAAAAAAAUGGAAAAAAGCCCUUGGGGAAAGGGAAUGCAACUGAUGGGAGAAACAGCGGAAGAGGUGGACAGGAUGCAUCCUCUGUGCAGUGCUUCGAGCACUGGGCCGUCUGUGGAUGCUGAGUAAGGCUCACGAAUUCUGUCAUCAAGGCCACACUGGGCUGCCCGUGGUGCACAGGCUCAAAGUGCACAACACUACCUGCUCACCGGGUCAGGGUUGCCCCACGCUGCAGGCAGGGUUUUGUUCAGCAAGAGAAAGGUUUUCUACAUAAAAGGCCUUAUAUCCAAAAGACACCAUUUUAACUUGGCCGCAGCAGCACUGGAAAUGCAUUCUGGGGAACAGGAAAAGUCCACGGGGCGGCUGUUGUCAGAAAACAGUUUCUGGAAAAAAUUAAAGUUCUCCUGAGGCAUGUAGAAAAAUUCCAGGACACUGUAUUAUUAUUGUUGUUAUUAUUACCCUUGAUCUUUUGGAAGGUGGAGAGGGAGCACAUGCCGUUUUAAAGAAAGAAGACAGGACAUCUGCAGCCUUUAAAAAGCAAAGCACAAAGGCUGCUGGGCUCUCCUUACAGCAUUUUUAAUUAUCUUCCUUAAGUUUCCCAAAUAAAAACAUCACAUUGAGCCUCACCCAAUAAAGCUAUGUGGGUAAAUACAAUACCCAUUGUCUAAUCAAUAUCAUAUUGCUCAUGGCUUUAGCUCGUUCAAUAUCUGAGAUCACUGCCUCCCGACUCACACCUAAGGAUGCCAAUAUCUGCUUAAUGUUGGACAAACUGCAGUUGUCAUUCCCUGUAACAGAGUUCUUUAAUCUCAUUAAUAACCUACAGAUACCAAAGUGCAGCUUCAAGUAAAGCUGGCUGGAGCGUGCCAGAUUUCCAGUGUGCAGUUUCAGCUCUGGAGUGGGGUGGGUUAAAGAGCCCUGGUCCUGCUGGGGCUGCAGCCCCUGCCCCACUGCUGCUGUGCUAGGGCACCCAUGAACAAAUUAAAAAAAAAAAAAAGUCAAAUGCAGAGGGCGAAGAGGUAAGGGUAUGAGCUCAGCCAGAUGCCGUGACUAGGACAAAGUGUAUGACUGAAGUAUAUCCUCCAAAAUACUCUUUCUGGGAGCAGCAGUGCUGUGUGCUUGGUGCGGGCAUGCCAUUGUGCCCACCCAUCAUCCCCACUGGAACCCCGGGGCAAGCAAAGGGCAAGCAGCGAGAGCGCACCUGGCCCAAGGCCUGUCCCAGCAGUGCAUCCAUGAGCCCCGCAGCCCCGCGCAGCUGUCCGGGCGCGAUGCCGCCAGCGUCCGAGCUCAGCACAGCUCUGGGGAGCCCAGAAUGUAUCGUGAAAUAAAAACAGCUGCGAGGGAAACUCAUAUGACUAGGAUAGGUGCCAUCUAGCAAUUAACAGCCAGAAGUUUUGAUCUGGAAAAUCACAUUUAUUUUAAUUGCUUCGCUGUUGUGUUCAUAAAGAAUUUGGCUCAUUUUAGUAUUUUCCUUAUUAGAUAUACGAUGUAACUUUGGAACAAUGUAGUCAUUAGUUCCAUUGUUCCAGAUAUUUCAUCACGGGGAAAUGAAUGAUGGAGACAUGUUCUGCAAGGAAGACUGUUUAUAAAUAUUUAUCCUUGUCUUAACAGAUAUUUGUGUAAUUCAGCCGAGUUUUCUAGCACAGAAUUCAGCAGUUGUUAAUCUGGCGCAUGGCAAGCUGCACAUCUCCUAACCUCUGAGCUCAGCAAGCGAUCUUAUCAAAAGGACAAAGUGAGAGAAGUAACACUUUUGUUUUACAAUUAUUUCCUUUUCAAGACCCAAUUCUUUCCACUCCCUUCCGUGGGAAGACACGUGUGUCAGAUUGCCACCACCGCUGCCAUUCACUGACAUGCUGACCCCGCGGCAGGCGCUGCCCUCAGAGCCCUGUGCCAUAGGCAGGAUCGGGCCCUGCACACGCAGGCUGGGAGGGGAGCUGUAAAAAAUGCAUGGGCCCUUCUGCUGCGAAUGAUGCUGCUCAGCUGAAAGGAACUGGGAGGUGAAAAAUGGAAUUUGGCAGUUCUGUGCCGCUCCACCAUUUGGUGCUUGUUGUGGGACUCCAGCAAAAGGGAGCUAUCACUGCGGGCAUAAUUUACUUGAUUUUAAGGAUCUGUAUGAAUUCUGGCACCAGACCAAGUAGCCAUUAGCUAUGAGGAGUGCUUCCCGAUGCUCAUUUGUUUUCCAUGUGUGAAUUUUCACUCAUCCGAACUUUCUUUAGAAAAAAUUUUUCUUCAUCAAUUCCAUGUGGAAAAUGCAACAGAAAUCCAGAUAAUAAAUUAUUCAAGAAACACAACAGUUUUUGUUUUUUUAAAUGGAAAACUACUAGUUCUGGAAUCAGACUGUCUGCCUGCUUUGAUUUCUGAUAUCUUAAAGCUAAGUGUUAUAAAAUGAUACAGUUGUUCACAUGCUCCAGGAUAGGCUUUUGGGCAAAUUACCCUAAAUAAGGUAACUCAAUAGCCAGGUAGGCAGGCUUUAAUGCUAUUACUAUUAGGAAAAUACCAUUAAUAUGAGACAUAUGCGGGCCACUAUUACAUCAGCAGGGCCUCACUCACGCAGUAUGUGGGAGCAGUGCUGUGGAUCGUAGCAGCGGUGCUGGGCCUUCACACACGUAACGUGCCUUAGUCUUGAGGUCAAAAUCUGUUAAUGCAAUUUUGAGUAUAAGAACAAGAAUUUAAAAUCCAUGUGGUUUUAAUGCCAUGUUCUGAGAUGGGGGGGCAGGGGAUGAUUUGUUGCGUUUCUUUAUUUGGGCUGCUCGCACUGAACGUGAACUCCUUUGAAAUGUGUGUGUGUCACAUCAAGACUAACUUGUGAGAUGUGAUGAACAAAAACAAAAUCUCAUUCCAUUUCUUUGCUCAAAAAGUUUGAUUUUGGUUGUGUUUCAAAUUAUAAGGACCAUUAUUGGUAAUCUGCA
ensembl:lncRNA